GUCCCUGUAGCGCAAUGGAUAGCGCAUCGGGCUUAUAAUCCUGAGGUCAUGAGUUCAAAUCUCACCUGGGAUG